UACGUAGGGGGCGAGCGUUGUCCGGAUUUCUUGGGCGUAAAGAGCUCGUAGGCGGUUUGGUAAGUCGGGUGUGAAAUCUCCACGCUCAACGUGGAGGGGCCACUCGAUACUGCCAUGACUCGAGUCCGGUAGAGGAGAGUGGAAUUCCACGUGUAGCGGUGAAAUGCGUAGAGAUGUGGAGGAACACCAGUGGCGAAGGCGACCCUCUGGUCUGUAACUGACGCUGAGGCGCGAAAGCGUGGGGAGCAAACAGG
rnacentral:rRNA from 1 species